UGGGGAAUAUUGCACAAUGGGGGAAACCCUGAUGCAGCGACGCCGCGUGAACGAAGAAGGUAUUCGUAUCGUAAAGUUCUGUCCUAUGGGAAGAUAAUGACAGUACCAUAGAAGAAAGCUGCGGCUAAAUACGUGCCAGCAGCCGCGGUAAUACGUAUGGAGCGAGCGUUGUCCGGAAUUAUUGGGCGUAAAGGGUACGCAGGCGGUUUAAUAAGUCGAAUGUUAAAGAUCGGGGCUCAACCCCGUAAAGCAUUGGAAACUGAUAAACUUGAGUAGUGGAGAGGAAAGUGGAAUUCCUAGUGUAGUGGUGAAAUACGUAGAUAUUAGGAGGAAUACCAGUAGCGAAGGCGACUUUCUGGACACAAACUGACGCUGAGGUACGAAAGCGUGGGGAGCAAACAGG
rnacentral:rRNA from 1 species